rnacentral:rRNA from 1 species
UUCGAUUCUGGCUCAAGAUGAACGCUAGCUACAGGCUUAACACAUGCAAGUCGCGGGGCAGCACUGUGGUUGCUUGCAACCACUGGUGGCGACCGGCGCACGGGUGAGUAACGCGUAUCCAACCUGCCCUGCAGUGGGGAACAGCCCGGCGAAAGUCGGAUUAAUGCCCCAUGGCGUCCUCGGCGGGCAUCUAAUGAGGACUAAAGGCUUCGGCCGCUGCGGGAUGGGGAUGCGUAGGAUUAGGCAGGCGGCGGGGCGACGGCCCACCGCGCCGACGAUCCUUAGGGGUUCUGAGAGGAAGGUCCCCCACACUGGUACUGAGACACGGACCAGACUCCUACGGGAGGCAGCAGUGAGGAAUAUUGGUCAAUGGGCGCGAGCCUGAACCAGCCAAGUAGCCGUGCAGGAAGACGGCCCUACGGGUUGUAAACUGCUUUUAUGCGGGGAUAAAGUGGGCUACGCGUAGCCCUUUGCAGGUACCGCAUGAAUAAGGACCGGCUAAUUCCGUGCCAGCCGCCGC